GAUGAACGCUGGCGGCGUGCCUAAUACAUGCAAGUCGAGCGAACAGACGAGGAGCUUGCUCCUUUGACGUUAGCGGCGGACGGGUGAGUAACACGUGGGUAACCUACCUAUAAGACUGGGAUAACUUCGGGAAACCGGAGCUAAUACCGGAUAAUAUUUCGAACCGCAUGGUUCGAUAGUGAAAGAUGGCCCUGCUAUCACUUAUAGAUGGACCUGCGCCGUAUUAGCUAGUUGGUAAGGUAACGGCUUACCAAGGCAACGAUACGUAGCCGACCUGAGAGGGUGAUCGGCCACACUGGAACUGAGACACGGUCCAGACUCCUACGGGAGGCAGCAGUAGGGAAUCUUCCGCAAUGGGCGAAAGCCUGACGGAGCAACGCCGCGUGAGUGAUGAAGGUCUUCGGAUCGUAAAACUCUGUUAUUAGGGAAGAACAAACGUGUAAGUAACUGUGCACGUCUUGACGGUACCUAAUCAGAAAGCCACGGCUAACUACGUGCCAGCAGCCGCGGUAAUACGUAGGUGGCAAGCGUUAUCCGGAAUUAUUGGGCGUAAAGCGCGCGUGGGCGGUUUUUUAAGUCUGAUGUGAAAGCCCACGGCUCAACCGUGGAGGGUCAUUGGAAACUGGAAAACUUGAGUGCAGAAGAGGAAAGUGGAAUUCCAUGUGUAGCGGUGAAAUGCGCAGAGAUAUGGAGGAACACCAGUGGCGAAGGCGACUUUCUGGUCUGUAACUGACGCUGAUGUGCGAAAGCGUGGGGAUCAAACAGGAUUAGAUACCCUGGUAGUCCACGCCGUAAACGAUGAGUGCUAAGUGUUAGGGGGUUUCCGCCCCUUAGUGCUGCAGCUAACGCAUUAAGCACUCCGCCUGGGGAGUACGACCGCAAGGUUGAAACUCAAAGGAAUUGACGGGGACCCGCACAAGCGGUGGAGCAUGUGGUUUAAUUCGAAGCAACGCGUAGAACCUUACCAAAUCUUGACAUCCUUUGACCCUUCUAGAGAUAGAAGUUUCCCCUUCGGGGGACAAAGUGACAGGUGGUGCAUGGUUGUCGUCAGCUCGUGUCGUGAGAUGUUGGGUUAAGUCCCGCAACGAGCGCAACCCUUAAGCUUAGUUGCCAUCAUUAAGUUGGGCACUCUAAGUUGACUGCCGGUGACAAACCGGAGGAAGGUGGGGAUGACGUCAAAUCAUCAUGCCCCUUAUGAUUUGGGCUACACACGUGCUACAAUGGACAAUACGAAGGGCAGCGAAACCGCGAGGUCAAGCAAAUCCCAUAAAGUUGUUCUCAGUUCGGAUUGUAGUCUGCAACUCGACUACAUGAAGCUGGAAUCGCUAGUAAUCGUAGAUCAGCAUGCUACGGUGAAUACGUUCCCGGGUCU
rnacentral:rRNA from 1 species